rnacentral:rRNA from 1 species
GUAACUGUUCAUACGUUGACGGUAUUUAACCAGAAAGUCACGGCUAAUUACGUGCCAGCAGCCGCGGUAAUACGUAGGUGGCAAGCGUUAUCCGGAUUUAUUGGGCGUAAAGAGAGUGCAGGCGGUUUUCUAAGUCUGAUGUGAAAGCCUUCGGCUUAACCGGAGAAGUGCAUCGGAAACUGGAUAACUUGAGUGCAGAAGAGGGUAGUGGAACUCCAUGUGUAGCGGUGGAAUGCGUAGAUAUAUGGAAGAACACCAGUGGCGAAGGCGGCUACCUGGUCUGCAACUGACGCUGAGACUCGAAAGCAUGGGUAGCGAACAGGAUUAGAUACCCUGGUAGUCCAUGCCGUAAACGAUGAGUGCUAGGUGUUGGAGGGUUUCCGCCCUUCAGUGCCGGAGCUAACGCAUUAAGCACUCCGCCUGGGGAGUACGACCGCAAGGUUGAAACUCAAAGGAAUUGACGGGGGCCCGCACAAGCGGUGGAGCAUGUGGUUUAAUUCGAAGCUACGCGAAGAACCUUACCAGGUCUUGACAUCUUGCGCCAACCCUAGAGAUAGGGCGUUUCCUUCGGGAACGCAAUGACAGGUGGUGCAUGGUCGUCGUCAGCUCGUGUCGUGAGAUGUUGGGUUAAGUCCCGCAACGAGCGCAACCCUUGUUACUAGUUGCCAGCAUUAAGUUGGGCACUCUAGUGAGACUGCCGGUGACAAACCGGAGGAAGGUGGGGACGACGUCAGAUCAUCAUGCCCCUUAUGACCUGGGCUACACACGUGCUACAAUGGACGGUACAACGAGUCGCGAACUCGCGAGGGCAAGCAAAUCUCUUAAAACCGUUCUCAGUUCGGACUGCAGGCUGCAACUCGCCUGCACGAAGUCGGAAUCGCUAGUAAUCGCGGAUCAGCAUGCCGCGGUGAAUACGUUCCCGGGCCUUGUACACACCGCCCGUCACACCAUGAGAGUUUGUAACACCCAAAGUCGGUGGGGUAACCUUUAGGAGCCA